rnacentral:tRNA from 1 species
GCCAUUGUGGCUCAGUUGGUAGAGCAACGCAUUCGUAAUGCGUGGGUCGGGGGUUCGAGUCCCCCCAGUGGCU